GGACAAGCCAGGGACAUCCACUACCAAGCCAGUCACUUGCAGGGAAAAAAACAUUUACUGUCAACAAAGGGUCUAGAGAAGAAACAAAACAAUCCUGCAACCAAACAGCUGCCUAAGGUUUUGAAGCUAGAUGCACUGGAACUCCACUUUUUGAACAGGAUGAUAAUUUCUGGCUCAUGAGGUCUGGCUAUGCAGCGCCUAUUCAGUAAGAAUCCUCAUGUGACCACCGGCUGACUCUACCCCACUGCAGAGUGUGAAGUCAAUUCCUCCGAGGGCUGUCAGCAAACAUUUUGGGCCUGGUUCCUGGAUCAUCAACAGAAUUCUGUCCUUGACAUCUGGAACACCCAUCUGAGAGGUG
rnacentral:lncRNA from 9 species